GGAGGGCUUAUUUUGGCUUACAGUUUG
rnacentral:piRNA from 1 species